UACGUAGGGGGCAAGCGUUGUCCGGAUUUAUUGGGCGUAAAGAGCGUGUAGGCGGCCAGGUAGGUCUGCUGUGAAAACUCGAGGCUUAACCUCGAGCUGUCGGCGGAAACCAUCUGGCUAGAGUCCGGAAGAGGAGAAUGGAAUUCCCGGUGUAGCGGUGAAAUGCGCAGAUAUCAAGAAGAACACCUAUGGCGAAGGCAGCUCUCUGGGACGGUACUGACGCUGAGACGCGAAAGCGUGGGGAGCGAACAGG
rnacentral:rRNA from 1 species